CUGAAGAGUUCCAAUAUUUUGUCGCAACAUAGUAGCCACGUGUUAUGAUGAAGAUUCUUGUGAGUAAAUGUGAGUGUAAAUACACAGAUAAAGCGUCGGGGACAUGAAUAAUUCACACGUUUACUUCAUCUGACUGUGCCGUUAGUAUCAAUGUGUACCUUGUUCCAUAAAUGUUUUCAAAUUCUCACUAAAUAAAAAUAAUUCUAUUCG